ACCAGUACCGUGAGGGAAAGGUGAAAAGCACUUCGAACAGAAGAGUGAAAUAGUCCCUGAACCCAUACGCCUACAAGCUGUCGGAGCCGCUUCGUGCGGUGACGGCGUGCCUUUUGCAUAAUGAGCCUACGAGUUACUCAUCACCAGCGAGGUUAAGUACUUCAGGUACGUAAGCCGAAGCGAAAGCGAGUCUGAAUAGGGCGUCAAGUUGGUGGUGGUAGACGCGAAACCUUAGUGAUCUACCCAUGGGCAGGGUGAAGGUUUGGUAACACAAACUGGAGGCCCGAACCGGUAAACGUUGAAAAGUUUUCGGAUGACCUGUGGGUAGGGGUGAAAGGCCAAUCAAACUGGGAAAUAGCUCGUACUCUCCGAAAUGCAUUUAGGUGCAGCCUCUGUUGUUUUGUUCUAGAGGUAGAGCUACUGAUUGGAUGCGAGGGCUUCACCGCCUAUCAAAUCCGGCCAAACUCCGAAUGCUAGAACAUGAAGACAGGGAGUGAGCCAGCGGGUGCUAAGGUCCGUUGACGAAAGAGGGAGAACUCAGACCAUCAGCUAAGGUCCCCAAUUGUAUGCUAAGUUGGAAUUAAAACGGGGUGGGACUGCUUAGACAGCUAGGAUGUUGGCUUGGAAGCAGCCAUUCAUUUAAAGAGUGCGUAACAGCUCACUAGUCGAGCGGUCCUGCAUGGAUAAUACGCGGGCAUAAGCAUAUAACCGAAGCUAUGGGAUUGUAGAUGAUACAAUCGGUAGGAGAGCAUUCCAUUCAGCGUAGAAGCAGUACCGUGAGGUAUUGUGGAGCGGAUGGAAAAGCAAAUGUAGGCAUAAGUAACGAUAAUGCGGGUGAGAACCCCGCACGCCGAAAGAUCAAGGAUUCCCCGGCAAUGUCAAUCAUCCGGGGGUAAGUCGGAUCCUAAGGGUAAGCCGAGUGGCGAUCCCGAUGGCAAACAGGUUAAUAUUCCUGUACUGAUCAUAACUGCGAUGCAGCGACGCAGAGGUGACACUGCUGCGUACUGACGGAAUAGUACGUUGAAACCCGUAUUCUUUGAUACCGGUAGUGAAGCACGCCGGUAGAGAUGAAAGGUGAUAGUACCGCAAUGCUUCGGUUGCGCGGAUAAUGCAGGUAAGCUGACUGCCAAGAAAACCUGCUAAGCUUCAGGUAAUGAUCAUCCGUACUGUAAACGGACACACGUGAUCAGGUAGAAAAUACUAAGGCGCUCGAGAGAUUCAUGGUUAAGGAACUAGGCAAAAUGGUCCUGUAACUUCGGGAUAAAGGACGCUCUUGUGAAAGAGCCGCAGAUAAUAGGCCCAGGCGACUGUUUACCAAAAACACAUGGCUAUGCUAAUUCGCAAGAAGAUGUAUAUGGCCUGACACCUGCCCGGUGCCGGAAGGUUAAGAGGAGAGCUCAGAUGUAAGUCGAAGGUUUGAAUUGAAGCCCCGGUAAACGGCGGCCGUAACUAUAACGGUCCUAAGGUAGCGAAAUUCCUUGUCGGGU
rnacentral:rRNA from 1 species